AGUGAACGCUGGCGGUAGGCCUAACACAUGCAAGUCGAACGGCAGCACAGUAAGAGCUUGCUCUUACGGGUGGCGAGUGGCGGACGGGUGAGGAAUACAUCGGAAUCUACUUUUUCGUGGGGGAUAACGUAGGGAAACUUACGCUAAUACCGCAUACGACCUACGGGUGAAAGCAGGGGAUCUUCGGACCUUGCGCGAUUGAAUGAGUCGAUGUCGGAUUAGCUAGUUGGCGGGGUAAAGGCCCACCAAGGCGACGAUCCGUAGCUGGUCUGAGAGGAUGAUCAGCCACACUGGAGCUGAGACACGGUCCAGACUCCUACGGGAGGCAGCAGUGGGGAAUAUUGGACAAUGGGCGCAAGCCUGAUCCAGCCAUACCGCGUGGGUGAAGAAGGCCUUCGGGUUGUAAAGCCCUUUUGUUGGGAAAGAAAAGCAGCAGGUUAAUACCCCGCUGUUCUGACGGUACCCAAAGAAUAAGCACCGGCUAACUUCGUG
rnacentral:rRNA from 1 species